rnacentral:misc_RNA from 1 species
UCCCGGUUAACCCGGGCAGUCUCAUUAGAGUUCCCACCAUUACGUGUUGGCAACUAAUGACAAGGGUUGCGCUCGUUGCGGGACUUAACCCAACACCUCACGGCACGAGCUGACGACAGCCAUGCACCACCUGUGAUCCUGCCCACAAGGGGAAACCGUGUUUCCACGGCGGUCACCCACAUGUCAAGCCCAGGUAAGGUUCUUCGCGUCGCAUCGAAUUAAGCCGCAUGCUCCGCCGCUUGUGCGGGGACCCGUCAAUUCCUUUGAGUUUUAGCCUUGCGGCCGUACUCCCCAGGCGGGGCACUUAAUGCGUUAGCUUCGGCACGGCAACCGUUGAUCGGGUCGCCACACCUAGUGCCCAACGUUUACAGCGUGGACUAC